CCUACGGGCGGCAGCAGUGGGGAAUAUUGGACAAUGGGCGAAAGCCUGAUCCAGCCAUGCCGCGUGUGUGAAGAAGGCCUUCGGGUUGUAAAGCACUUUCAGUGGGGAAGAAAGCCUUGGGGCUAAUACCCUCGAGGAAGGACAUCACCCACAGAAGAAGCACCGGCUAACUCCGUGCCAGCAGCCGCGGUAAUACGGAGGGUGCGAGCGUUAAUCGGAAUUACUGGGCGUAAAGCGCGCGUAGGCGGUCUGAUAAGCCGGUUGUGAAAGCCCCGGGCUCAACCUGGGAACGGCAUCCGGAACUGUCAGGCUAGAGUGCAGGAGAGGAAGGUAGAAUUCCCGGUGUAGCGGUGAAAUGCGUAGAGAUCGGGAGGAAUACCAGUGGCGAAGGCGGCCUUCUGGACUGACACUGACGCUGAGGUGCGAAAGCGUGGGUAGCAAACAGGAUUAGAUACCCCGUAGUC
rnacentral:rRNA from 1 species